CACUGGCUGGCUCAGUAGAUGGAGCAUGUGACUCUUGAUCUCCAGGUUGUGGGUUCAAGCCCCACGUUGGUUG
rnacentral:tRNA from 1 species